rnacentral:lncRNA from 1 species
UUAAACUGUUGAAAUACCCGGUGAUAAAAGUACAGUAAUACGCGUGGUUGCAUAGUAGCACACAGUAUUGAUGCUUACGUGAGAAGUCACUCAGUUAUACUCAAAUAUUACUACAAUAAUUGUUGCAUAGUAUCUCACGUUAUUUGAUUCAAUUAUUGUCACAAUAUCAUCUGCAUAAUAUUUUAUAUUAUUUGAUCAAUAAUUGAGACAACAAAGUUAUUCAUAU